GGUUAAGCGACUAAGCGUACACGGUGGAUGCCCUGGCAGUCAGAGGCGAUGAAGGACGUGCUAAUCUGCGAAAAGCGACGGCGAGGUGAUAUGAACCUUUGACCCGUCGAUGUCCGAAUGGGGAAACCCAGUGCAAUCCGUUGCACUAUCGUUAACUGAAUACAUAGGUUAACGAGGCGAACCGGGGGAACUGAAACAUCUAAGUACCCCGAGGAAAAGAAAUCAACCGAGAUUCCCCCAGUAGCGGCGAGCGAACGGGGAGCAGCCCGGAGUCUGAAUCAGCUUGUGUGUUAGUGGAAGCGUCUGGAAAGUCGCACGGUACAGGGUGACAGUCCCGUACACGAAAAUGCACAGGUUGUGAACUCGAAGAGUAGGGCGGGACACGUGGUAUCCUGUCUGAAUAUGGGGGGACCAUCCUCCAAGGCUAAAUACUCCUGACUGACCGAUAGUGAACCAGUACCGUGAGGGAAAGGCGAAAAGAACCCCGGCGAGGGGAGUGAAAAAGAACCUGAAACCGUGUACGUACAAGCAGUGGGAGCACCUUCGGGUGUGACUGCGUACCUUUUGUAUAAUGGGUCAGCGACUUAUAUUCUGUAGCAAGGUUAACCGUAUAGGGGAGCCGCAGGGAAACCGAGUCUUAACUGGGCGUUAAGUUGCAGGGUAUAGACCCGAAACCCGGUGAUCUAGCCAUGGGCAGGUUGAAGGUUGGGUAACACUAACUGGAGGACCGAACCGACUAAUGUUGAAAAAUUAGCGGAUGACCUGUGGCUGGGGGUGAAAGGCCAAUCAAACCGGGAGAUAGCUGGUUCUCCCCGAAAGCUAUUUAGGUAGCGCCUCGUGAACUCAUCUUCGGGGGUAGAGCACUGUUUCGGCUAGGGGGCCAUCCCGGCUUACCAACCCGAUGCAAACUACGAAUACCGAAGAAUGUUAUCACGGGAGACACACGGCGGGUGCUAACGUCCGUCGUGAAGAGGGAAACAACCCAGACCGCCAGCUAAGGUCCCAAAGUCAUGGUUAAGUGGGAAACGAUGUGGGAAGGCACAGACAGCCAGGAUGUUGGCUUAGAAGCAGCCAUCAUCAUUUAAAGAAAGCGUAAUAGCUCACUGGUCGAGUCGGCCUGCGCGGAAGAUGUAACGGGGCUAAACCAUGCACCGAAGCUGCGGCAGCGACACUUAGGUGUUGUUGGGUAGGGGAGCGUUCUGUAAGCCGUUGAAGGUGUGCUGUGAGGCAUGCUGGAGGUAUCAGAAGUGCGAAUGCUGACAUAAGUAACGAUAAAGCGGGUGAAAAGCCCGCUCGCCGGAAGACCAAGGGUUCCUGUCCAACGUUAAUCGGGGCAGGGUGAGUCGACCCCUAAGGCGAGGCCGAAAGGCGUAGUCGAUGGGAAACAGGUUAAUAUUCCUGUACUUGGUGUUACUGCGAAGGGGGGACGGAGAAGGCUAUGUCAGCCGGGCGACGGUUGUCCCGGUUUAAGCGUGUAGGUGUGUGUUCCAGGCAAAUCCGGUUCACUUUAACACUGAGGCGUGAUGACGAGGCACUACGGUGCUGAAGUGAUAAAUGCCCUGCUUCCAGGAAAAGCCUCUAAGCAUCAGGUAACACGAAAUCGUACCCCAAACCGACACAGGUGGUCAGGUAGAGAAUACCAAGGCGCUUGAGAGAACUCGGGUGAAGGAACUAGGCAAAAUGGUGCCGUAACUUCGGGAGAAGGCACGCUGAUAUGUAGGUGAAGCCCCUGCGGGCGGAGCUGAAAUCAGUCGAAGAUACCAGCUGGCUGCAACUGUUUAUUAAAAACACAGCACUGUGCAAACACGAAAGUGGACGUAUACGGUGUGACGCCUGCCCGGUGCCGGAAGGUUAAUUGAUGGGGUUAGCGGCAACGCGAAGCUCUUGAUCGAAGCCCCGGUAAACGGCGGCCGUAACUAUAACGGUCCUAAGGUAGCGAAAUUCCUUGUCGGGUAAGUUCCGACCUGCACGAAUGGCGUAAUGAUGGCCAGGCUGUCUCCACCCGAGACUCAGUGAAAUUGAACUCGCUGUGAAGAUGCAGUGUACCCGCGGCAAGACGGAAAGACCCCGUGAACCUUUACUAUAGCUUGACACUGACACUGAACACUGGUCCUUGAUGUGUAGGAUAGGUGGGAGGCUUUGAAGCGUGGACGCCAGUCUGCGUGGAGCCAUCCUUGAAAUACCACCCUUUAAUGGCUGGUGUUCUAACGUGGACCCGUGAUCCGGGUUGCGGACAGUGUCUGGUGGGUAGUUUGACUGGGGCGGUCUCCUCCCAAAGAGUAACGGAGGAGCACGAAGGUUAGCUAAUCCUGGUCGGACAUCAGGAGGUUAGUGCAAUGGCAUAAGCUAGCUUGACUGCGAGAGUGACGGCUCGAGCAGGUGCGAAAGCAGGUCAUAGUGAUCCGGUGGUUCUGAAUGGAAGGGCCAUCGCUCAACGGAUAAAAGGUACUCCGGGGAUAACAGGCUGAUACCGCCCAAGAGUUCAUAUCGACGGCGGUGUUUGGCACCUCGAUGUCGGCUCAUCACAUCCUGGGGCUGAAGUAGGUCCCAAGGGUAUGGCUGUUCGCCAUUUAAAGUGGUACGCGAGCUGGGUUUAGAACGUCGUGAGACAGUUCGGUCCCUAUCUGCCGUGGGCGCUGGAGAAUUGAGGGGGGCUGCUCCUAGUACGAGAGGACCGGAGUGGACGCAUCACUGGUGUUCGGGUUGUCAUGCCAAUGGCACUGCCCGGUAGCUAAAUGCGGAAGAGAUAAGUGCUGAAAGCAUCUAAGCACGAAACUUGCCCCGAGAUGAGUUCUCCCUGAGACUUUAAGUCUCCUGAAGGAACGUUGAAGACGACGACGUUGAUAGGCCGGGUGUGUAAGCGCAGCGAUGCGUUGAGCUAACCGGUACUAAUGAACCGUGAGGCUUAACCUU
rnacentral:rRNA from 1 species